AAUCAGGCACGCAGCUGGAGCGGACAGGACGGCUUCCGGGAUUUGGCGGGGCCUUUGUCUCUGGCUGCAGCCGGAGCUCCUGCUCUCCUCCUCACUGCUCAGUGUCCUCUGCUCCUAGAGGCCCAGCCUCUGUGUCCCUGUGACCUGCAGAUAUUGGGAGAUCCACAGCUAAGACGCCGGGACUCCCUGGAAACCUAGAAAUGAUGGAGUCUCGCUCUGUUGCUCAGGCUGAAGGGCAGUGGUGCGAUCUCGGCUCACUGAAACCUCCGCCUUCCGGGCUCAAGCAAUUCUCCUGCCUCAACCUCGCAAGUAGCUGGGAUUACAGGCAUGCACCACCAUGCCCAGACUGUGCCAUAACACACAUUUGAUGCUGAAAUCCGGGAUAGGGGAACUCCUUUGGGAGUCGUGUCCCUUAACCCCUUCCCCCGACUUCUUGAAGAGACCCACCCGCGACCUCGGUACCUCGGACCAGCUCUGUAAAAGCCCCGCCUCUGCCUUCGGAUAGAUACCCAGCCAUAUGAGGACACUCUGGCCAGACAGCCCAUCCUGAUAAAGAGCUUAACCCCCUGAUCUCUACAACCUCAGUGGACAGGACCCUUCCUGGUCGUUUAUGGUACCCCAAUGGCUGUCUGCUUACAAGAUCCUCCUCAGUGGAUUCACCCUUCCAGAGUAAAGCUGUGUCCAUCUGACACUCAGCCUGACCCUUCUUCCUCCUCUUGGAAGUCGCAAGUACUCUCCCCGACCUCGUUAAAACUCACCGAAAUCCCUGAAGAAACUUAAAUGUCCUGCUCCUGUCCGCCCUGCUUCUUCACCCUCUUCCUCCACUCUAUUUGCCAAGACAUCUCCUGGUUUCAUCCCCAAACUCCCACCUUAGAUUCUCUCUUAAACUGGAUAGAUGAUCUCAUCUUUUAGGGCACUCUGUAUAACUUCUUCCCAGAUGAGACGCCUCUGUUUACCUUCCUACUCACUCUUUAUCUAUCCCUCCUGCUCCUUUGGCUACCUGGCAUGGCCGCACUCCCACUUCCAGUAAUGCCUAAUUACCUCUACAAAACUCUCAACCCACUCUCUGUUAAACCAGUCCAACCCUUCUUUGGCAAAGGACGCUGGCUUUGCAUUUCUCUAUCAGCUACCACUUACGUUGCCACUCUCAUUCCCACAAAAAACUGGGUAGUUACUAGCUUAACCUACCACCCUCGUAAUGAAGGAAAAAGCCCCUUCUAACUCCUACAUAUGCAGUCAUUGGCCAACUUCUCCAUCAAUGAAAUGACCGAAAAUACCCUGACAGGUCGUGCAGUUCAACUUUUACGCUCCUACAUGUCCAGCCUCACCCAUUACACAAGUAAUGAAAAGCCCAUACACGGCCCUGUGACUACAAACGCUGUCUUAACUUUCCAAGCCCCUUUAUGCAUCCAACACAACCUGUCAUCAGGCCUACCUCUAGGUCACCUACUGUUCCAUCAGUGCAACUACGCCUUGCAGCUUCAAGCCCCAACUGACUGUAUUAACUUCCAGGUCUCCCAAACAGCUACAUUCAAACAGCCUGUCCGCUUCUCAAAGCCCCCAGAAGUCAUCAGCACCUCUCUGCUUAACAAACAAUCCGGGUUUUGUAAUGGCAGGCAUACGCACUGCAUGACCAUUCACCCCUGGACCUCCUGCAGCAGCACUCCCACCACUGACGAAUGCCUCCUUAUCCCCUCUUUCGAUUACCCUUCUGAGUGGCUCCUAGUAGAUACAAAAUGAUUUUUCCUCCAAUGGGAAAAUAAAACACAGGGAGCCACUCAGCUUAUCCCAAACAUCCCUUUUCAGCCGCUCACUGGGGCCGCCUUGGCAAGUACCCUAGGGGUGUGGGAAAAUGAAAACAAAUUCACACACCUUUUUAACAUACACAGCCAGUUCUGCCUACCCAGCCAAGGCAUAUUCUUCUUGUGUGGAACUUCAACCUAUGUCUGCCUCACCACUAACUGGACAAGCACCUGUACCCUAAUCUUCCUAAGCCCCAAAAUUGACAUUGCCCCUGGAAACCAAACCUUACCAGUCCCUGUCAGAGCCCAAGUCCAUCAGCAUAGGGCUGUGCAGAUAAUACCCUUGCUUAUAGGACUAGGAGUUACCAAUGCCACAGGAACUGGAAUAGCAGGUUUGUCCCCUUCCCUGUCCUACUAUCAUACACUCUCAAAGGAUCUCUCAGACAGCCUACAAGACAUAGCAAAAUCCACCCUUACUCUCCAAUCCCAAAUAGACUCCUUAGCAGCAGUAACUCUGCAGAACCACCGUGGCUUAGACCUCCUAACCGUCGAAAAAGGUGGGCUAUGCACCUUUUUAGGGGAAGAUUGUUUUUCCACCAACCAGUCUGGACUAGUACGAGAUGCUGCCUCGCAGUUAAAUGAAAAGGCUUCUAAAAUCAGACAAUGUCUUUCAGACUUUUAACACCAAUCUUUGGAGCUGGGCGUUGUGGCUUCUCCCUAUAGCUGGGCCCCUCAUUUCCAUCAUUCUCCUUCUCCUAUUUGGACCCUGCCUCUUCCGUCUAGCCUCUCAGUUCCUACAAAAUCUCAUUCAAGCUAUUACCAAUCAAUCUAUGCGACAAAUGCUACUCCUAACUGCCCCUCAAUGUCACCCCCACCCCAAGAUCUCUCUCCCAAUUAGGAGUCCAUGCCGCCCCAAGUCCCGCUCGAAGAAUCCCUGAGAAACAUCACCCCGUCCACUUCUUUUCUUAUUAAAACAAAAAGACAGGAAUGUCAUAUCCCACAAAUAUGGCUGCAUUAUUGCCAGCAGGCCAUUAUUGACGGUGGGCCAUUAAGAACUCUGUGACCAGCACAUAUGCCUCCAGACUUCCUGGAACCAGAAAACCUGCAACAACCAAAAACCACAAAAGAAGAACAACGGGUUUCUGUUCCAACUGGUUGAUCAACUUCUUGAGUCAACAAGUCCCAAAACCAUGUUGUAAUUUUCCACCCGCCACUUUGCCCUGUAAAGACUGCUCUCCCUCACACCUCCGGGCUGACUCCCUUUUCCGAUUCAGCCCACUAACACCCAAGUGAAUAAACGGCCUUGUUGCUCACACAAAGUCUGCUUGGGUCUUCAAUCCAGACCACGCUGUAACACACACUUACAAAAUUCUGCUGAGAAUAUGCCCCCCGUUAUUCAUAAUGCUCAUGUUUUUCAUACUGAGGGUAGCUGUGCACUUUGGGUUUUUACAGAGAAAUGUGUUUUAGGGGAAGUUUUUCUGGCUGACUUGUUCAAUCAUAUCUAAUCUGAGUUUUUUUCUUAAGAUGCUUUUCUUUUUUUUUCCCUCUCAAUAUAAUCAUUUUCAGAGUGAGCUGUUUUUCUCUUGAAUGCAUUGGGUGUCUGUUUUGGAAGCCCUAUUACUAUCCCAUGGUGUCUGUUAAUGAGGUGGGCUGUCAUAGUGAGAACUCUUGGAGCUAUCUCUAUAUGGACUCAUGCUGGAAAUCCAGCAGAGUGAUUUCCAUGUCACCAUUACAAAUAAAAAACUGAGGCUUAAACACUGCACCCAUUCCCAUUAUUGUGAAGGUGCAAUUCUACCCAGGAGGCCUGCAGGCUCUCCUCCUGCAACUCAGGCUUCAUUCUCUGAUGUGGCAUUGAAGUGCUGCUGUGGCAGUUGGGGUUAUAUAUAGGGUGCCAGGUGUGAGCUGUGUGCUGGGGGCUCUGCCUCAGUGGCAGAUGGUAGGAGUCAAGAGAGGACACAAGCUACCAGGAGACGGCAAGCAGGAGGCACCUGGCUUUAAGUUGCAAAAUUACCUUUUGUCAUGAAGAUGUGAAAAGUGUAUUUUGUCAUUGAUUAUAACCAAUUAGCAUAUAUGGAUGACCUCCCAAAUUACCAGGUGAAUUUAUGAUGAACUAUGUAUGACAUGUGCUGUAAAUUUUUCUACUUGUGGACUAAUUAUUGUGACCGUCUUUCUGUCUUUGCAAUCUCUUAAGCAGAUUGACUGUGAUGCAUGUCACAUUCUGGUUGAAUUGUGUAAUAAAACAGCUUUCUUUCUGUUCUA
rnacentral:lncRNA from 1 species